rnacentral:rRNA from 1 species
UACGAAGGGGGCUAGCGUUGUUCGGAAUUACUGGGCGUAAAGCGCACGUAGGCGGAUUUGUCAGUCAGGGGUGAAAUCCCGGGGCUCAACCUCGGAACUGCCUUUGAUACAGCAAGUCGUUGAGUUCGAGAGAGGUGGGUGGAAUUCCUAGUGUAGAGGUGAAAUUCGUAGAUAUUAGGAAGAACACCGGUGGCGAAGGCGGCCCACUGGCUCGAUACUGACGCUGAGGUGCGAAAGCGUGGGGAGCAAACAGG